ACGAUUAAUCCACGACGACCAGGAGCGCUGCCCCGAGCCACACGCCCACACGCACUGGUGAAUCUUCUCCUUUCCACCUAGUUUUCACUCUGCAGUCUCCUCUCCUAGCUACUACUCUGCCUUCCCAUCCUCGCUUGUUGCAGCCCUCUUGCACACGCCAUUGGCCACAGUCCAAGGACUGCUCCUGUUCCGAUGGAGGAGGUGGAAGCCGGUUGGCUGGAGGGCGGGAUCAGGUGGCUGGCGGAGACCAUCCUGGAUAACCUGGACGCCGACAAGCUGGAUGAAUGGAUUCGCCAGAUUAGGCUCGCCGCUGACACCGAGAAGCUACGGGCUGAGAUCGAGAAGGUGGAUGGGGUGGUGGCUGCCGUGAAGGGGAGGGCGAUCGGGAACAGGUCGCUGGCCCGAUCGCUCGGCCGUCUCAGGGGGUUGCUGUACGACGCCGACGAUGCGGUCGACGAGCUCGACUACUUCAGGCUCCAGCAGCAGGUCGAGGGAGGAGUUACUACACGGUUUGAGGCUGAAGAGACGGUCGGAGAUGGAGCAGAGGACGAGGACGAUAUUCCGAUGGACAAUACUGAUGUACCGGAGGCAGUGGCGGCAGGCAGCAGCAAGAAACGGUCCAAGGCAUGGGAACACUUUACUACCGUAGAGUUCACUGCUGACGGGAAGGAUUCUAAAGCACGGUGCAAGUACUGCCACAAGGACCUAUGUUGCACAUCUAAGAACGGGACAUCAGCUUUGCGCAACCAUCUCAAUGUUUGCAAGAGGAAACGUGUAACAAGUACUGACCAACCGGUAAAUCCAUCAAGUGCCGGUGAGGGUGCAUCAAAUGCAACUGGUAAUUCAGUUGGCAGAAAAAGGAUGAGAAUGGAUGGGACUUCAACACACCACGAGGCAGUUAGCACGCACCCUUGGAACAAGGCUGAACUUUCCAACAGGAUCCAAUGCAUGACUCAUCAGUUAGAAGAGGCUGUAAAUGAGGUUAUGAGGCUAUGUCGAUCCUCAAGUUCAAACCAGAGUCGACAGGGUACACCACCGGCCACAAAUGCAACAACAUCGUCUUAUCUUCCGGAGCCCAUAGUGUAUGGGAGGGCUGCAGAGAUGGAAACCAUCAAACAGCUGAUCAUGAGCAAUAGAUCUAAUGGCAUAACCGUCCUGCCAAUUGUAGGCAAUGGAGGGAUAGGAAAAACCACUUUGGCGCAACUGGUCUGCAAAGAUCUGGUAAUUAAAAGUCAGUUUAAUGUUAAGAUAUGGGUGUAUGUAUCUGAUAAAUUUGAUGUAGUUAAGAUUACAAGGCAGAUUUUGGAUCAUGUCUCCAACCAGAGCCACGAAGGAAUAAGCAACCUUGAUACGCUUCAGCAGGAUCUUGAGGAACAAAUGAAAUCUAAGAAGUUCCUCAUUGUCUUAGAUGAUGUGUGGGAAAUCCGUACAGAUGACUGGAAAAAACUACUGGCUCCUUUAAGACCUAAUGAUCAGGUGAAUUCGUCACAGGAAGAGGCAACAGGUAAUAUGAUAAUUUUGACAACUCGUAUACAGAGUAUUGCCAAAAGUCUUGGAACAGUACAAUCAAUUAAGUUAGAAGCUCUGAAAGAUGACGAUAUAUGGUCACUAUUUAAAGUGCAUGCUUUUGGUAAUGAUAAACAUGAUAGUAGUCCAGGCUUACAGGUUCUUGGGAAGCAAAUUGCUAGCGAGCUAAAAGGCAACCCACUGGCAGCAAAAACUGUGGGUUCACUAUUAGGAACGAAUCUUACCAUCGAUCAUUGGGAUAGCAUUAUAAAGAGUGAAGAAUGGAAAUCCCUGCAACAAGCUUAUGGCAUCAUGCAAGCGCUGAAGUUGUGCUAUGAUCAUCUAUCCAACCCCUUACAGCAAUGCGUCUCUUAUUGUUCUCUUUUCCCCAAGGGUUAUUCUUUCAGCAAAGCACAACUAAUACAAAUAUGGAUUGCUCAAGGAUUUGUGGAAGAAUCCAGUGAGAAGUUGGAGCAGAAAGGAUGGAAAUAUCUAGCUGAGUUGGUAAAUUCGGGUUUCCUUCAGCAAGUUGAAAGCACACGGUUUUCAUCAGAAUAUUUUGUUGUGCACGAUCUUAUGCAUGAUUUAGCGCAAAAGGUUUCACAAACAGAAUAUGCAACUAUAGAUGGCUCAGAGUGCACAGAGUUAGCCCCAAGUAUACGCCAUUUGUCAAUAGUAACUGAUUCUGCAUACCGCAAGGAGAAAUAUAGAAACAUAUCUCGUAAUGAGGUGUUUGAGAAAAGGUUGAUGAAAGUUAAGUCAAGGAGUAAGUUGAGGUCACUGGUAUUAAUUGGGCAAUAUGAUUCUCAUUUUUUUAAAUAUUUCAAAGAUGCUUUCAAGGAAGCACAACAUCUGCGACUGCUGCAGAUCACUGCAACUUAUGCUGAUUCUGAUUCAUUUCUCUCCAGUUUGGUAAAUUCUACACAUCUCCGGUAUCUGAAAAUUGUGACUGAAGAAUCCGGCAGAACUUUGCCCCGAUCUCUAAGGAAGUAUUACCAUCUUCAAGUACUAGAUAUUGGCUAUAGAUUUGGAAUUCCCCGUAUAUCUAAUGAUAUAAAUAAUCUUCUCAGCCUGCGGCAUCUUGUUGCAUAUGAUGAAGUGUGUUCUUCCAUUGCUAACAUUGGUAAAAUGACCUCACUUCAGGAACUAGGCAAUUUUAUUGUUCAGAAUAAUUUAAGUGGUUUUGAGGUGACACAAUUGAAAUCCAUGAACAAGCUUGUACAACUUAGUGUGUCUCAACUUGAAAAUGUUAGAACUCAGGAGGAGGCAUGUGGGGCAAAACUGAAAGACAAACAACACUUAGAAAAGCUACAUUUGUCCUGGAAGGAUGCAUGGAAUGGAUAUGACAGUGACGAAAGCUAUGAAGAUGAAUACGGCAGUGAUAUGAAUAUAGAAACAGAAGGGGAGGAACUGUCAGUUGGUGAUGCCAAUGGUGCCCAAAGCUUACAACAUCACAGUAAUAUAAGCUCUGAACUUGCUUCAAGUGAGGUGCUCGAAGGUCUUGAACCACAUCACGGCCUCAAGUAUCUACGGAUAUCUGGGUAUAAUGGAUCUACCUCCCCAACUUGGCUUCCUUCUUCACUUACCUGUCUGCAAACACUUCAUCUAGAAAAAUGUGGAAAAUGGCAAAUACUUCCUUUAGAAAGGCUAGGGUUACUUGUAAAGCUCGUGUUGAUCAAAAUGAGGAAUGCAACAGAACUCUCAAUCCCUUCACUGGAGGAGCUUGUGUUAAUUGCAUUGCCAAGCUUGAACACAUGCUCCUGCACUUCCAUCAGGAACUUGAACUCCAGUUUAAAGGUUCUGAAAAUUAAGAAUUGCCCUGUACUGAAGGUAUUUCCCUUGUUUGAGAUUUGCCAGAAAUUUGAAAUCGAGCGGACGUCGUCAUGGUUGCCCCAUCUUAGCAAGCUUACCAUCUAUAAUUGUCCUCUUUCCUGUGUGCACAGUUCUCUGCCACCUUCAUCUAUUGUUUCCAAAUUAUCGAUCGGUAAAGUUUCAACACUUCCAACGGUGAGGGGGUCAUCUAGUGGAACAUUAAUAAUUGGACUGCACCCCGAUGAAGUUGAUGAUGAUGAUGGUUUGGAGGAUUCUGAUCAGCUGAAAACGUUGGAUGACAAAGUACUAUUAUUCCAUAACCUGAGGUUCCUAACUAGCUUGGCAAUAUAUGGUUGUCGAAAUCUUGCGACUAUUUCAAUUGAAAGUUUAAGGCAACUCGUUUGUUUGAAGAGUUUGGAAUUAUACGGCUGCCCAAAACUUUUCUCUUCAGAUGUUCCACCAGAGCUUACAUGUGAAUAUAUGUCAGGAGCAAAUCACAGCGCCCUCCCAUCUCUCGAAUGUCUCUAUAUUGAGGAUUGUGGAAUAACGGGGAAGUGGCUGUCUCUGAUGUUGCAACAUGUGCAGGCCCUACAGGAACUGAGUUUAGAGGACUGCCAGCAGAUAACAAGGCUAUCGAUAGGAGAGGAAGAAAACAGUCAACCAAAUCUUAUGUCAGCUAUGGAGGAUCCGUCAUUAGGAUAUCCAGAUCGAGACGAACUUCUGCGCCUUCCGUUAAAUCUCAUCUCUUCUCUGAAAAAGGUAUCUAUUACAUAUUGCUAUGAUUUAACAUUCUACGGCAGCAAGGUAGAUUUCGCUGGAUUUACCUCCCUUGAGGAGUUAGUGAUUUCACGAUGCCCCAAGCUGGUGUCGUUCUUGGCGCAUAACGACGGAAAUGAUGAACAGUCGAAUGGAAGAUGGCUCCUACCGCUAUCACUUGGAAAACUUGAGAUUAACUAUGUUGAUUCCCUAAAAACGCUGCAGCUCUGCUUUCCGGGGAACCUCACCCGCCUGAAAAAACUAGUAGUGUUGGGAAACCAAAGUUUAACAUCUCUGCAGCUCCAUUCCUGCACAGCACUCCAAGAGUUGAUAAUUCGAAGCUGUGAGUCGCUUAAUUCUCUGGAAGGCUUGCAAUUGCUCGGCAAUCUCAGGUUGCUGUGUGCACACAGAUGCCUCAGCGGCCAUGAAGAAGAUGGAAUGUGUAUCCUUCCGCAAUCACUUGAGGAAAUUUACAUCUGCGAGUACUCUCAAGAGAGGCUGCAGCUCUGCUUUCCAGGAAGCCUCACCCGCCUGAAAAAACUAGUAGUGUUGGGAAACCAAAGUUUAACAUCUCUGCAGCUCCAUUCCUGCACAGCACUCCAAGAGUUGAUAAUUCAAAGCUGUGAGUCGCUUAAUUCUCUGGAAGGCUUGCAAUGGCUCGGCAACCUCAGGUUGCUGCAGGCACACAGAUGCCUCAGUGGUUAUGGAGAAAAUGGAAGGUGUAUCCUUCCACAAUCACUUGAGGAACUUUACAUCAGAGAGUAUUCUCAAGAAACGCUGCAGCCCUGCUUUCCAGGGAACCUCACCAGCUUGAAAAAACUAGAAGUACAGGGAAGCCAAAAGUUAAUAUCUCUGCAGCUGUAUUCCUGCACAGCACUCCAAGAGUUGAUGAUUGAAAGUUGUGUGUCGCUUAAUUCUCUGGAAGGCCUGCAAUGGCUCGUCAACCUCAGGUUGCUGCGGGCACACAGAUGCCUCAGUGGUUAUGGAGAAAAUGGAAGGUGUAUCCUUCCACAAUCACUUGAGGGACUUUACAUCAGAGAGUAUUCUCAAGAAAUUCUACAGCCCUGCUUCCAGACGAAUCUCACUUGCUUAAAAAGAUUAGAGGUAUCAGGCACUGGAAGUUUCAAAUCUCUGGAGUUGCAAUCAUGCACUGCACUCGAACAUUUGAAGAUUGAAGGUUGUUCAUCACUUGCCACAUUAGAGGGCUUGCGAUUCCUCCACACCCUCAGGCAUUUGAAAGUACACAGAUGUCCCAGAUUGCCUCCAUAUUUUGAGAGUUUGUCAGGACAGGGCUAUGAGCUAUGCCCACGACUGGAAAGGCUCGAGAUCAAUUAUCCCUCAAUCCUUACCACGUCGUUUUGCAAGAACCUCACCUCUCUACAAUACCUAGAGCUUUGCAAUCACGGAUUGGAAAUGGAAAGACUAACGGACGAGGAAGAGAGAGCGCUUCAACUCCUCACUUCCCUGCAAGAGCUCCGAUUUAACUGUUGCUACAAUCUCGUAGAUCUUCCCACAGGGCUCCACAACCUUCCCUCCCUCAAGAGGUUGGAGAUCUGGAAUUGCGGGAGCAUCGCGAGGCCGCUGGAAAAGGGUCUCCCACCUUCGUUGGAAGAACUGGCUAUCGUAGAUUGCAGUAAUGAGCUAGCUCAGCAGUGCAGAUUGCUAGCAAGCAAGCGGAAGGUCAAAAUUAAUCAGAGAUAUGUGAAUUGAUUACUCGGUGGCUUUUUCCACCUGCCCAACUGGCAUGGGCUCGUUCAGGCGUUCAAGCUGCUGUAAAUUCCAUUGCCGCAAUGACGACCUUCAGAACCGUUACACAAUACAAAGGACAUAUGAUGGCUAGAUCAACUGUCGCAGAGCUAGCUUUGGUUCACCUGAAAACAUAAGGCCAAACGCGUGGUUCUUUUAAUCAGAAGUAUCAAAAAUUGGUUUUGGUUUUUAACGAAAAGAUGUUAGAAAUUGGUUUUAAUGUGCCAGAUUCUGUACCAGAAUUCUGUAUUUUGCUCCGUAAUUCUGUGCUACGACUGAUGUUGUAUUUAACUGAUAGCAAUCGACCGGCAAAACCAAUCCGCUCCAAUGCAUUGUCACAUACAAAUUCUAUAAUUCUAUCUACUGAAAAGGAUGAUUGCUGUUCAUUUUCGUGAUUACAGAAGGAACUGUGUAUAUCGUGCUAUUUUUGCAUUCACAUUGUGUCCCAGGUUGUGCUCGGAUCAGCCAAUUUCGGUGGUUAAUUCACUUUGCUGUGUCCUCUGUGCACUCAAGAAUUGUUCGCACAUGCAAUUCAGUUGAGCAUCGCACUACGCAAGUUUUUUUUUUGUUAACAAAGGAGUGGUUGACAGCAUUGCAGGUUGCUAAAACAGUGUCAAAAAUUUGCUAACAAAAGAAUUCUCUUCAGAAAUAGUAUGAAAAUAAAUGCCACAUAAGUAAUCUGAGUAAAACAGACAUAAUCACUAGAGAAGACUAACGACAAACUCUUCUUUUUCUAUUUCUGUGGUGAAAAACUCAGCAUAUAAUCUCAUGUAUGCAUUGGAGGUGCAUACCAUUUCGAUCAUGUAUGCAUUUAGCUGAACAUUAUCAAGAAGCAAAUUUAUUGCACGGGCAAACAUAAGCUAAACUAAUUCUCAAGCAAUUUAAUAAUCACAAAACAGUCUGCAAUACCAAGAUAUAUAAAACUUUUGCCAGCAUGGAGCAACAGCACUGAAACACUACAAUCAAGACAGCUCCCAGAAAAGAUUAUAUGUUGCUACUUCAAUUGCCACAGUUACAAUCACCCAUAAUGACACAUCAAAUUACGUAAGAGUAUUAAGAGUAUAUGACAGUUGUAACAAAACAACUGCAUUGAGAACUAGAAGAACAGACAGCCACAUGAACCAUAUUCACUUCUUCAGAUCAGAAAGCCUGGUGAACUACCAGUCUACCAAUUGCUACCGUAGUCUCCAUUUUUCACUUAUAUGUACAUAGGACACCUGCGCUAUCAGAAUAGCCACAAAGCCAGUUCACUCGCUACAAA